rnacentral:misc_RNA from 1 species
GAAAUGCGAUAAGUAAUGUGAAUUGCAGAAUUCAGUGAAUCAUCGAAUCUUUGAACGCACCUUGCGCUCCUUGGUAUUCCUUGGAGCAUGCCUGUUUGAGUAUCAUGAAAUCUUCAAAGUAAAUCUUUUGUUAACUCAAUUGGAUUCUACUUUGGUAUUGGAGGUCUUUGCAGCUUCACACCUGCUCCUCUUUGUUCAUUAGCUGGAUCUCAGUGUUAUGCUUGGUUCCACUCGGCGUGAUAAGUUAUCUAUCGCUGAGGACACUGUAAAAGGUGGCCAAGGUAAAUGCAGAUGAACCGCUUCUAAUAGUCCAUUGACUUGGACAAUACUUUUAUGAUCUGAUCUCAAAUCAGGUAGGACUACCCGCUGAACUUAAGC